AACGAACGCUGGCGGCAGGCUUAACACAUGCAAGUCGAACGCCCCGCAAGGGGAGUGGCAGACGGGUGAGUAACGCGUGGGAACGUGCCCUUCGCUUCGGAAUAGUCCCGGGAAACUGGGUUUAAUACCGGAUACGCCGUAUUGGGAAAGAUUUAUCGGCGAAGGAUCGGCCCGCGUUGGAUUAGCUAGUUGGCGGUGUAAUGGACCACCAAGGCGACGAUCCAUAGCUGGUCCGAGAGGAUGAUCAGCCACACUGGGACUGAGACACGGCCCAGACUCCUACGGGAGGCAGCAGUGGGGAAUCUUGGACAAUGGGCGCAAGCCUGAUCCAGCCAUGCCGCGUGAGUGAAGAAGGCCUUAGGGUUGCAAAACUCUUUCGCCGGAGAAGAUAAUGACGGUAUCCGGAGAAGAAGCCCCGGCUAACUUCGUGCCAGCCGCCGCCGUAACAC
rnacentral:rRNA from 1 species